rnacentral:rRNA from 1 species
UACGUAGGGUGCAAGCGUUGUCCGGAAUUAUUGGGCGUAAAGGGCUCGUAGGCGGUCCGUCACGUCGGGAGUGAAAACUUGGGGCUUAACCCCAAGCCUGCUUCCGAUACGGGCGGACUAGAGGUAGGCAGGGGAGAACGGAAUUCCUGGUGUAGCGGUGAAAUGCGCAGAUAUCAGGAGGAACACCGGUGGCGAAGGCGGUUCUCUGGGCCUUACCUGACGCUGAGGAGCGAAAGCCAGGGGAGCAAACGGG